AUUUAACCUCUCUCAGUAUGUCAAGCGUGUUAUUUGAACCCCAAAACUGUAAGAAAGAAAACGGAUAUGCUAACUUUGAAUCAGCUACUUUGAGCUGAAGUGAAAUAGACUUCAGUUUGGACAAUAACAAGGUAACAAGCCCAUUGAAGAAACAGUGUAUACAACAAGCUAAGCCAUUUCAAGAUACAGCUGGUAAAAUAGUUUUUGCAUCAAAAACUGUACUUCAUCAUAAAAACAAUACUCUCUUUGAGUUUACGCAGCAAGUUGGCU